GUGAGUAAUGGCUUCCUAGGGGCGUGGGAGAGUGGAUGUAUGCAGUGGGAGGUUGGGCUAGGCAGUUGUGGGCAAGAAAGGUGCCCUCUAGCACCCUGGACACAAGAGCAGGCUGCAAACAAUUGGUAGAAAUGGUAGCAGGAGGAGAAGUCCCUGGAGGAACAGCACACGGCCUGGCAGAGAUACCAAAGGGAAUGGGAUUUACUGAAGAAAUUGCCGUCAGUUUGAAUGAACCACACAGUAUGAGAGCUGGAUGUGCAGUCUUGAAGGAAUCCUACGCUUCAUGAAUGAGGAUUUGACAUCUGGCAGAGGUCUUUAUGAACACAUUUAUGAUCAUCCUUCAAAGCAACCACAUGAAAUGGGCCAGGGGCUUGUUCUCUUUUAGCAGACAGACGGGUUGAGUCACCACAAGAUGCUGUUAUGGUUUAAAUGUGUGGAGCUAUAUAUAUACAUACACACAUACACAUGUAUAUAUCAAUCAAGCUAUACUUAUCCCCAAUAACAGAGAGGAAAAAUAUAUUAUUAGAAUAAGAGCCGCAUAUUUUGGAAAACUUACCAUGUGCCAGAGACUGUUCUAAUUAUUUUAUAAACAUGUCUCUUGUGGUUUUCAAGAUAACUAUAGAAGGUAACUAUUAUUACUUUUUAACAAAUGAAAGCAAACCUCAGGUUAAGUGACUGGCCCAAGGUCACACAGCAAGCAGUGACAGAGCUAAGUUGCGCUGGCUCUAAAGACCAUGUGUUAUCAACAGCGUCCUCCUGCCUUCUUAUGAAAUGGAAUCCAUAUCAAACUGCUAAGCUUUGUUUUUAGCAAAUAACAUGACUGUCUGGGCUGUGGGCUUAAGGAACAGUGAGUUUGGGGGCAAAGGUCACCCUCUAAUAGUGCUUCAUAAUAUUUCUCCCAGAGAAAGACUCUGGAGCCAGGCAGAUCUGGAUCCAGAUUCCAGUUCUGCCACUUCCUAGCUGUGUCCUCUCACUGAGCUCUCAGAGGCCUCCUUGGCCCGCAUGCUCAGUGGAGUGUCUGGUUGGCCCCGCAGCCCUUGUGUCCAGAUCUGCUGGGCGACACAGUGCCUGGCUGUGCCCUGCAGAGGCUUUCCUGUCCCUGGCUCCCAUGCUUCCCCUGAGGAGAGCAGGCGAUGGGUGUCAGCUUAUGUGAGCCCUUUGGUUGCAUGGAUCGGGUGAAAAACAGACAGAGCUGAAGAAUUUGAACUGAGAUGUCAAUUGUGGAGCAGGAUUACUCAUAGCAGCCACCGCCCACUAGGCCAGAACACCUUCGUUUAAACAAACCAACAUCCCAGGGGACAGUGCCUGUUGAGCAAGCUGCUGAGAGCCCUUCACUAGUGCUGAGUCCUCAGGCCUGCAGGGGACACUCCACAUCUGACCCUGCAGGAGAGCGGUGUCCAGGAGCAGGCACCUCAGAUCCAUCCAAGUCACACAGGGAGGCCAGAAGGGCAGCGGGGACACUGAACGCUCUACACGUCCUGAGGUCCCUGACCUCAUAGGCUGGAGGGGAGCAUUUGCUUUGUCUUGUGGAAAGUCCCCAAGUGGAUGGGCUAACAAUCGAUUCCAGUUGCACCCACGCUGCUAACUCUGGCCAUGUUUCCUAUACUUCCGUUCCUGUGAUCCAUCUCUUGCCCCUUCCAGAUCAGACAGUGACCUCCCGGGCCUCCUGGGGAUGCAGUUGUCCUCCCUGCACUCAGAUCUGGAGCUGCUGCUUCCUAGCGGAGGAGUCAGCCUACCGAGCCAGGCCGUUGUCAAGCCCUGAGCCCUCCCCACUUCCGCCUCUGCCCGCUUUCCUGUCCCAGCUGUGAGCCUCUCCGGGGACUCAUUUAAACUGAAGACAAUUGCCUCAGAUAAAGAACAACUGGCCUCCUCCCUAUGUGGCUAAAAUUAUCAAAAACCGAAGAGGGCGUUGCUGACCUCAGCCUUCCCCAGCCUUUCUCCUGCCUUGGUCCACUUGAAUAUCCCUCUGGGAGCCUGUGACAGCUGCCUACGUGGGACCCCACACAGAAACGGGGCUGAAGAAGGCAGUCCCAGCCUCGCAAGGCAUUCAGUUCCUGCAGUGUCUGCAGCCAAAUCCCAAGAUAGAGCCAGUCUGCUUGGUUCCCUGGCCCCAGGUUUCUCAGAGCUCCUCCGGCAGCCCAGGAGGCUGAGCUGCACUGCCUGCAUUUCCUGGCUUCACAUCACGUACACAUAGAGCUUGGGGCCCGGGCAACCAUGGCAUGGAAGCCCAGACCACCUAAAUUCUUCCUUAGGACCACCAGUGCCAUUGCCUCAGCCAUAACCCCCUGAGACUCCUCGCGGACCAGCAUGGCGACUGGUCCCACAACCAUCUCCAUGCCUGCUUCCUCUUCCCCAUUCAAGCUUCUCAACAUCUGUCAUUCUUGGUGUUAGCUAUAUCCCAGCUCCUGUAUUAUUCCAUUGCAUCCAGAAUGCUUUGAGGAAGGAAUGUCAUAGACCCCCUUUUUUAACCCCCUCUUCCCAGAGAGAUGUGCUCAGGAAUAGGUGCCCAACAGGAAGUAUUUGAUUGAGAGCUUAUUUGUCCCUCCAGGAGAUAUUCAAGGAGAGCCCCCAUCCAGACCCCAAGCGAGAAGAGCUACCGUGUCUCACAGGGCCCACAGCCCAUCACCCACAUCAUCCCACGGAGGGCGGGGAUUAUGCCCAGUGUGCAGAAGGGUUGACAAAGGCCAGGUAGGGGAAGUGGCUGGCUCUGCUUACAUGGACCCAAGACUCACUCCAGAACCCCUGACCUUCCGCUGAAGGAUCUUUGCACCAACUCUCCUGGCCCCAGUGGGUCUGGCUCACCAGAAGUUAGGCCUGGAAGGGAGGAGGCUGGGUGGGGGGACAUAGAAGGCAAAAGCAGCAGUGUCCUCACAUGGAACUGUUCCUCCAGGUCCUUUCCCUGGGACCCCUCCCUGGAGAGCUCUCCCUGCUCUCUCUGGCUUCCUUUCCCUUCUGUCAACCCUAAUAGCAUAGGUUUUGGUGUCAGGCAGUCCUGCGUUGGAAUCUCAGAUUCCCAGGGACAGUCAUGAUUUAUACGUGUUGUCCCGGUAUACUAAUACAUCAAGGCUCCUUGUCACCCUCAAACAUGCGCAUUAGGACCAUGCAUCAUGUGUCCCGCUUACAAAGACAGAAGGCAAGGUCUGUGGACAGCUGGAGGAUGACCUAGUUAGGGAGCCUCUAGGAACCCAUCUAGUUCUGCGAUGGAGGGGAACAGAGAAUGGGGUGUUUCCCUGAUGACCCUGCUGUGGAGGAGCUGGCUGCUUCUGCAGGGAGAUGCUGCAGCCCCAGAAGGAAGCCCUGGCCAUGUGUCUCAAGUUGCUUUGCAAAACAAGCACCAGGAAAGAAAAACAGCAUCUAUAUUUCCCUGAGGUGGGCCAGCAUCCAGAGGCUGAAGGCACCUGGGGAUAGGGACACUACAUCACACACUUCAGGGGGUGCCAGUCAUGUCACGGUCUGUGUGAACGGUGCCUCCUGGGAAUGUACAGCUCCCAGCCUGCUCACUGCAAAGCAGGAAUUGGUGAGCUGUGACUAGAUGAUGUCAGAGAGCAAGAAUAAGUAAGGACCAGGAAAGCUACAAAAUAUAGAAGACUACAUCUUUUUUAAAUUAAUUAAUUAGUUAAUUUAUUUAUUUAUUUAUUAUGUUUUGAGACAGAGCCUUGCUCUGUUGCUCAGGCUGGAGUGCAGUGGUAUGAUCUCUGCUCACUGCAACCUCCAUCUACCAGGUUCAAGCAACUCUCCUGCCUCAGCCUCCUGAGUAGCUGGGAUUACAGGCGCUCAUCACCAUGCCCAGCUAAUUUUUGUAUUUUUAGUAGAGACAGGGUUUCACCAUGUUUGCCAGGCUGGUCUCAAACUCCUGACCUUGUGAUCCAUCUGCCUCAGCCUCCCAAAGUGCUGGGAUUACAGGCAUGAGCCACCAUGCCCAGCCGAAAGCCUACAUCUUUAAGGAGAGGAAUCAUUCUGUCUGGGGAGGAACUCCUUUAAAUCAGUUCAACUCAACUCAUAUGAACAAAUAUUGAUCAUGCAAUUACUGUGCGCUCUGCUGGGCAAGGCCAUUAUGGUGGGGGUGGCGGUGGGGUGAUCAGGCAUCCUGAUCAGGCAGGGGUGAUCAGGCAGGCGGUGGGGUGAUCAGGCAUUGAGAAGCUCAUAGGACAGGAGGGGAGUGCGCAGGGUCUGUCCCUUCCUCUCCCCAGGCAGA
rnacentral:lncRNA from 1 species